rnacentral:rRNA from 1 species
AUACGUAUGUCGCAAGCGUUAUCCGGAUUUAUUGGGCGUAAAGCGCGUCUAGGCGGCUUAGUAAGUCUGAUGUGAAAAUGCGGGGCUCAACCCCGUAUUGCGUUGGAAACUGCUAAACCAGAGUACUGGAGAGGUAGGCGGAACUACAAGUGUAGAGGUGAAAUUCGUAGAUAUUUGUAGGAAUGCCGAUGGGGAAGCCAGCCUACUGGACAGAUACUGACGCUAAAGCGCGAAAGCGUGGGUAGCAAACAGGAUUAGAUACCCUGGUAGUCCACGCCGUAAACGAUGAUUACUAGGUGUUGGGGGUCGAACCUCAGCGCCCAAGCUAACGCGAUAAGUAAUCCGCCUGGGGAGUACGUACGCAAGAAUGAAACUCAAAGGAAUUGACGGGG